AUUCUCCUGGCUGCUUCUAAGGCCAGGGCUGGGGAGUCUGGAGCUCCUUGCUACCCACAACCUCCCAGCGAUUCCUCCCCCUUCCUGGAGGCUUCCCUGCCCACUCAAGAUCAUUUCCUUUCCUUCUCAAGCACUGCUUGUUUUUGCCCGUUGCUAAGCAGCCAGGAGUACUCUGGCUGCUGGCUGUUGCCUCUGCUUGCUGUGCUGCCGUUUACAUUCAGAUUCAGAUUAACCCCAUGUGGCCAGACAUCCAUUAAAAAUAUGGGGCUGUGUGACAGUAUGGAGAAGCCCUUCCAGCAGCCCAUAACAAGCCUCACCGGGUUCUUUUCUAGCAGGGUUCCCUUUCUGGAAGGAGGGACAUGGAAUGGAGAAGGCUCCAUGCCCACCACAGGCACUUGGCUUUGAGUUCUGGCCCCACCACCUACCGUGGUAACCCAGUGACUUUUAGGAAGUGGCUUUCCAACUAAGUCUUGGUUUUCUCACCUGUCAAAGCGGGUAAUAACAUAACAGCUUCUGCAAAUGUCCACUCUGAGGCUGAAAGGAGUCAAGUGUACAGAAUGUUCAGCCGGGUCCAUUAUGUGGGUCCCGGAGCUAUCUAAGUCUCAAGGUCAAUUCCACCCACUUUCUUUGAAGAAGAGAAAUUAUUUGAAAGCAAAUGACUCCAUGGGCCUUGCUUCUUGCUUUGAAACAGUUUUACUUUUGAUCAAUAUUAAAUCACCCCCAAGAUGCAAAUUAUGUGUGCAUCUAUUCCCUGUCUGUUUUAAUGGUAAUGAACAAAUAAUAUGGACUUUGAUUCAAGUGAGAACGUCAGAACUACAAAAGGAAAAAUUGACCUUGAAGAACACGGUAUUGAAUCAUGCAUCCAAUCCAUGUGACUGGACCACAAGAAAGCUGAAUUUCAUAAAGGAAAAGAUAAUGAGAGGGUGUCAUGCCACUCAUGGAAAAGUAGAUGAUGUUAAAUCUUUUUCUCUAGGCUCUUAAUGACUCUAAUUACCAUACUACUCAAAGCGCUUUUUAGAGUCAGUUAAUUCAA
rnacentral:lncRNA from 1 species